GACGAACGCUGGCGGCGUGCUUAACACAUGCAAGUCGAACGGAAAGGCCCUGCUUUUGUGGGGUGCUCGAGUGGCGAACGGGUGAGUAACACGUGAGUAACCUGCCCUUAACUUUGGGAUAACUUCAGGAAACUGGGGCUAAUACAGGAUAGGAGCUCCUGAUCCAUGGGGGGGGUUGGAAAGUUUCGGCGGUUGGGGAUGGACUCGCGGCUUAUCAGCUUGUUGGUGGGGUAGUGGCUUACCAGGGCUUUGACGGGUAGCCGGCCUGGGAGGGUGACCGGCAACAUGGGGCCUGAGAUACGGCCCAGACUCCUACGGUAGGCAGCAGUGGGGAAUAUUGCACAACGGGCGGAAGCCUGAUGCAGCAACGCCGCGUGCGGGAUGACGGCCUUCGGGUUGUAAACCGCUUUCGCCUGUGACGAAGCGUGAGUGACGGUAAUGGGUAAAGAAGCACCGGCUAACUACGUG
rnacentral:rRNA from 1 species